GUGGAUUUACUAGGAAGGUGGGACGUUGGAGGGGUGGCCGCAUGGAGUGAGUACUGUCUCUGGCCACCGAGCAGAGCCAGUGACAGCAGCGUCCUGGUAGGCAGGCAGGCGUAUCAGGUUUCAGAGGAUGCGGCUGGGAACGGGAGUAGAGGUGAGGGGUCGUUGCAUCUGUCGCGGUGUGUAUCUUUUGGGGGUUCAGCGCCACCAGCGACUUGGGCCUCAUUCAUCGCGCUUACAUUUCUCCACCUCAUUUGAAGAACGAGCUUCGUAGCCCACGGAGCUGAGGUAUAUGAGCUCCCUGAAAGCACAAAGCAGUUAUUUCCAUCUUCAGAUCAUUCAGAGAUUAUGAAGGCACAAACCCUGCCUUCAAUUUGCUUAUAGUCAAGUGGAGCAGACACAAGUCAAUGAUUGCAGUAUAGCCACUGAAGUAAUCUAAAAGAGAAGGCGUUUUAGAUUUAUUCCCUGCGUAUGUACUUGAGAUACCAAAGCAAUAUCAAGACAGAGAAGAACCAAGGACACCUAUUUACCUUGGCACUUUCCAGUGCUUCAUUGAGUGGGAUCACUUCAUGCUCCUUAUGUUCAUCAAAAACCUUCUGAAAAGCUCUUAUUGGAGUC
rnacentral:lncRNA from 1 species